rnacentral:rRNA from 1 species
UAAAGCUUCAAACUGGGAUUAGAUACCCCACUAUUCUUGGAUAUAAAAAAAUAUGGAUUUACCAGAGUACUAUGGAUUGAUGACAUUUAAAACUCAAAGAGCUUGGCGGUGUUUUAGACUCUUUAGGGGAACCUGUCUCAUAAUCGACAAUCCACGCAAGACCUGACCUUUAUUUGCUUUCAGUUUGUAUACCGUCGUCGUCAGGUAACUUUUUAGAAAAAAGAAGUUAGCAAUUGAGCUUUUAAUAAGCUCUUACGUCAGAUCAAGGUGCAGCCAACAUAAAGGGGAGGAUGGGUUACAAUUAUAAGAAUCAUAACUACGGAAUGGCUGUUUUAAAUAGCAGCCAUGAAGGAGGACUUAAAAGUAAAAUAAAAUAUAUAAAUGUAUUGAAUUGAGCUCUGAAACGUGCACACACCGCCCGUCACCCUCCUGCAGUCAA